AGAGUGAUGCUCUGCAUAAGUUGCAGAAAUGGGCCACCAAGGAAUGCCUAAACAAAACCCAACUGCCUGGCUCUGAAACCUGGCUAACAACAUAGUGCUGCACAGGACCAAUGGAGCCAGCACCCCCUGCAAGGUGCCAAAGGAAGGUCACCCAAAGGCCUGCCAGCUGUCCCUGUGCUCGGGGGCUGCGGCACAGAGGAGCACCAUGCACGUAUCCCAGACUGAGCCACGGAGCCAACCCCAGGCAUCGUGUAUGUCCUGUGCCAGCUAUUGGACUGAGCCUUCUUCUGGGUGGGUGGGACUACAGGAAGUGGGAAAUCGAAUGCUUUAGGGACUGCCAGGGCUCAGGGGUGUCCCUGGAACGUAACGGACUGGGCUGGCCAUGCUUCAGGAGGGACCGCUGGUGCGGCCACCGCAGCCUGUGCAGCCUUGCAGGGAUCACUGUGGUCACAGCUGCUCCUGGAGGAAGGGGUGUCCUAGUCCUCAGGGAUAGGGGUGUUGCAGUUCCCAUGGUAAAUUUUGACCUCACCCUCGCACCGAAAGUACUGAUCAAACACAUCGCUGUACCCGUGGUCCUUCCACCACGUGCAAAGCUGACGGUUCCACGUGCAGUCGAGCACAUGAAACAGUUCUGGAUGCUCCAUCCCCACCAUGGUGAAGAAAUCCUGGUCCCCAAGGUGACCCUUGAAGUGGUACUUCUCCGUGAGCUUCUGCACCAUGCCGGGCUCCAGCAGCUGGUUGUAGAGCUUGGAGCGCCUCAUGGCUUCCAGGUUGAGGAGCAGCACGCCGCUGUUGAAGCCAGGCAGCCCGUCAGGAGGGGGCUCCCCCACCCUGGUCUGGGGGUUCUCACGGCGGUACUGCCAGAACGUGUGCCUGUACACUGGCUGCAUUUCCCUGGCAAUCCCAAUGACAGCUCCCUCCUGGAAGUUGUCAAACUCCUCAAACAGGUCGCGGAUGUUGGCCUUGUACUUCAGGUCCAAGUCUACCUGGAUGAUCUGCGUUAUUUCUUUGGGCAUGAUCCGAUGCAUCGCGACGGACAAGAAGAAAAUCGAGUCGCUGUAGUAGGUCCCUGAUCCAGCACUGAAGUGUUUCUGCAUGGCUUCAACGAUUGGAAACAGCUUCUCAGUCAGCUCGCUGACAUCGUGGAUUAUUACCUGGUGCCGGAAGGCGGCGCCGCGCAGCGCGUCCCUCAGCAGCCCCUCUCCGAUGUCUCUGCUGGCGCCGUCGGUGACGAGGUGGAGGUGCAGCGCGUCCCCGCGGCGCAGCCGCCCGUGGCGCAGCAGGGAGCGCAGCGCGGCCUGGCCCUUACCGCGCAGCGCGGGGCUGCGCUCCGCCUUGGUGAACAUCAUCAGGAGGUGCAGCGCCCGGCCCGCCUCUCCUCCGGCCGCCGUCCUCUCGCGGCGGGCCGGGCCGGGCGGCGUGGCGGGCGGCGCGGCGGCCCGCGUGGCGCGGAGGCGGCGGGUGGCGCUGGAGAAGGUCUCCCCGCCGCCGCCCAGGUAGUAGAAGGCGCACACGGCCAGGGCCGCCGCCAGCGCCAGCGCGCACGGCUGCGAGCGCGCCCAGCCCAUCCCGCCGCUACCCGCCGCCCGCCGCCAUGCUGCGGCCCCGCCCCGCCCCGCGCUGGGAGGCGGCGCCGGGGGCGCGGAACGGCCGGUAGCGAAGCGCGGCGCUCUGCCCUCAGCCCGGCUGGAGGCGUCGCAGCCCCCGGAGCGGUUAUUGCCGUCCUCUCUUUUUUCCUUCAGUGAUGCAAAGCUUUCUUUGGUAGAGCAGCAAUUCAGAUAACGCGUAGUGAUGUCGCUGCAAGGCAGGGGAGUCCUCCUGCGUUGCUGACGUGGGGAAGGGUAAAUACAAACGGGUAAAAUACACAACUGCAGGGAGUGAAAGAAGCACUGUCAGUAGAGCACCCCUUAACGCGGCUAAGGGAUGACACGCGGCAUCGAAGUCCUGAAAGCUACAGGCCAAAGCCUCCGAAAUGAGACCAAAGCCCACCCCAAUGCCAGCGAGCACUUGGGUUGGGCCCAAACGGGGAGGAGGCUGAAGGCUUCAACACAACCAGCAACCCAAACGUGCUCAGACUGCAGCAGGGCGGCCUGCAGAAGCAAGCGGGAUGUCCGCAACCCACCGCCUUCAGCCGAAGUUACAGGAGCAAAGCCCAGUAUGUCUGUAUAUCUGUAUGUCUGAUACCAUUCAGCAGCACUAUGCAGAAAGAUGAUUUAUCAGUUUGUUUACAUGCAUUGUACCAGCGUUAACAAAACAUGGAACCUUAGGAACAAUCAAAACAACACGGGUAGCUAAGGAGACACCAGAGAUGCUAUCUUCACAUGCAACAUAAAGGGAAUUGUACCUCUGAAAUUAAGAUGCAUUAGAAUAUAUGCUGAGCACGCUCUUACACAUUUGUCUUUCCAAGAGGCUUUUGGAACAUGUGGUGUAACUCUGCCUAGGAGGAAUAUCCUGCAGUCUUUUAAUGGUCUAUGUGGUAAAUCACUACACAGGAGUUAAUCAUGCUUUCUCUUACUAAGGGCUGGAUCCUGCAAGGCAGAGGGCCUGGAGCGCUGAGCCUGCAGUAUCUGCUGGGACAGCCUCACUGCACUGCAUGCAGCUUAAUGACACAUUCAUUUUUGCUGAUGAGCAAGACCUUAACGUAUGUAUUGCACCUGACCUGAAAAGCGGCACUUAUACUGGGCCUCCCAGUGUACCAAAAAAGAUCAGGGAACAAAGCUGUGGGCUCAGAAGUGCUGCACCUAAUCCCCAAUCCACUGAAACUCCAAAUCUCCUGAAAGAGAGUCGUAUGACCCAAAGAUCAGGUUAUGUUUCUAGCCCUUCAGCAUGAACAGUCUGAUAGUGAGACCCCACGUAACAGUAUGAUGCUGCUUUCCAAAGUCAGAAUGCAAAUGGAUCUGCAGAGCUACAGGGAAGAAGCUUUUGUUGGCAGGAAAUUAUCCUGCAAAGUUUGAUAGAUUUUUGUGGCUGGGAAGGAAAAUACCCGUGUGGGUUGGGUGUCUCAGCAGCAAGGAGUGAGACAGAGAUUAUGCCACUGAGCUGUAGGGAGCUUUACUUGACAAGCAAUCACACCGUACACUGCCUGUCCCGUAGGCAGCAGAGGAC
rnacentral:lncRNA from 1 species